rnacentral:tRNA from 1 species
GGGGAUUUAGCUCAGUGGUAGAGCAUUUGCCUAGCAAGCGCAAGGCCCUGGGUUCCAUCCCCAGCUCCG